rnacentral:rRNA from 1 species
UACGGAGGGGGCGAGCGUUAUUCGGAAUUAUUGGGCGUAAAGGGCGCGUAGGCGGCUUGACAAGUCAAAGGUGAAAUCCCUCGGCUCAACUGAGGAACUGCCUUUGAAACUGUCUGGCUUGAGGCCGGGAGGGGGUAGCGGAAUUCCCAGUGUAGCGGUGAAAUGCGUAGAUAUCCGGAGGAACACCGGUGGCGAAGGCGGCUUCCUGGACCGAUCACUGACGCUGAGGCGCGAAAGCUAGGGGAGCAAACGGG